rnacentral:rRNA from 1 species
GCCGCGUGAGUGAAGACGGUUUUCGGAUCGUAAAGCUCUGUUGUAGGGGAAGAACGUGUGUAAGAGUGGAAAGCUUACACAGUGACGGUACCCUACCAGAAAGGGACGGCUAACUACGUGCCAGCAGCCGCGGUAAUACGUAGGUCCCGAGCGUUGUCCGGAUUUAUUGGGCGUAAAGGGAGCGCAGGCGGUUUAGUAAGUCUGAAGUUAAAGGCAUUGGCUCAACCAAUGUAUGCUUUGGAAACUGUUAGACUUGAGUGCAGAAGGGGAGAGUGGAAUUCCAUGUGUAGCGGUGAAAUGCGUAGAUAUAUGGAGGAACACCGGUGGCGAAAGCGGCUCUCUGGUCUGUCACUGACGCUGAGGCUCGAAAGCGUGGGUAGCGAACAGGAUUAGAUACCCUGGUAGUCCACGCCGUAAACGCUGAGUGCUAGGUGUUAGGUCCUUUCCGGGACUUAGUGCCGACGCUAACGCAUUAAGCACUCCGCCUGGGGAGUACGACCGCAAGGUUGAAACUCAAAGGAAUUGACGGGGGCCCGCACAAGCGGUGGAGCAUGUGGUUUAAUACGAAGCUACGCGAAGAGCCUUACCAGGUCUUGACAUCCCGAUGC